CAGCUCUGCGGCGCAGAAACCGGAAGGCGGAGCAGAGACUCUCCCUCUUGUCUCGGAUGUGAUCGUGGUGAGCAGACGUGUUCCCCACCGCUUCCUAACUUUGACUUCUUCGCGAUUUGCUGCGUAGCAGUGGUGAUGAAGAUGUCCAAGUCACACUAUGGCUGGUACACCUGACAAGAUGCUAUGGCACCACUGCAAACUGCAGAUGACCAAAUGUCUUCAUUGUGUGGGCCUUCAAGCUGCUUGAAGUUGUAGUGACGAGAGCCACCGGAUAUGUAAACCUUUGUCUGCUACCAAGAUGAGAUAGGCCGCCGUAGUAGCAGCCACAGAGUUACAUCAAUGCUGACUUCAUCUCUUCCCCAAUUAUGAAGCCAGUUGAAUGAUCCAGCGGUACAGAGGAAACCUGUUUUGUAAAAGGUGCGUAGGUGUAGAUGAAGCGUAAGAUAUUCUGGUGGAGCUCGUCCAGGGUAGCGUCUCUCCUGUGCAAACUGUCCACAUCCCCCAGGUCACAAGGAAACACUGCAUCGGGUGGAAGAAUGAGAGCAGAGGCCCCUGCAGGAAAAGACCAGCAUCCCAUGAAGACCACACUCUUGAACCUGUUGGCCUACGUAAUGUUCAUUAAGAACAACUACCCUGGAACAAGAUAAAAAUGUACAACAAAAAAUUGUAAAGCUAUAUGUUUUGCAGUAUUAGACUCCAUACCUAUUGAUACACAUAAGGAAAAUCAUGUAAGAAUAGCUUAUAAUAAAUACAUAAUACUACAUGUAAGUAAAUAAUAUUCUUUGGUACCAGGUAUGUACUUAUAGGUGUCAUGUAAAGGUGUCCUGAUUUUUAAAAAAUACCAUGUUUGAGAGUGACUGAGUUCUCACAAAGGAGUACAGCAAUCACAGCGUCCUCUUCCAGUACGCAAGUUCUGAGACAUAACUUGCAGUGAGCCUCAGCCAAGGAGAUCCUGGGACAAAAUGCCAUAAAGAAUGUCCAGUGUGAAUGCCUGCAUGUGUGCUUAGGGUUUUCUUUUAUUUAUGGCUGUACAAGAAGUAAUUUGUAGAAGUGUACAAUUCAGUAUGUAAAUGGAUAAAUCAAAACGAACACAGGCUGAGUAAAUGUUUCUAGAUUUAGAGCUUAA